rnacentral:lncRNA from 1 species
GGGGACCAUUAUGCUUGUGCCCCCACUAAAAACACCAGCUUUCCCACGAGCUAGGAUUUGCUGGGAGCUGGAGAGAAAUCAGCAUAGCCUGAUUAAAUUAACAUGAACCAGCUCAGGGAGGGCGAGAUGAAGCUCCAAAAGCGCAGGCCUGUGAGAGCACGGGUGCCCGGUGUGGGUCUGCUCCUCCAGGGACAUGGCUAAUUGCACCCCAGCACAUCCAACCGGCCACAAACAUGAUCAUCCAGGGGUAACCACGGAGCAGGAGAAAGAAGUGGGAACCUAUCCUGCGGAAAUUUCACCCCAACAUAGAGACGCCUCUACAGAGCGAGACGCUCAAUCAGGAAGCUCUGAUUGGAAAGCAGCCUCCCGUCUCCCACUAUGGAGGUGGCCCAGAUGCUCAGUGGGGCACGGUGUGGCCACUCCAUGGGCACCACUGGGUUAGCUCUGGGCCAGGCUCCCAGAGGUGGCUGAGACCACAUCCUGCCCCCAAAGGGCUCACACCCAGUGCGGGAGUCACCACAGUGUGACAAUGAAGUGGCACCCCAAAGCACAUAGAUGAGUAAAACAAAAGUCACCCCAACUCUGUGGGCUGGUGUCAGAGCCAACCUGUGGAGCCUCUUUGGAGCUGAGCCUGUUUUAAAAGAAGCAAAUCACAGACCUUUUGGACUCUCUGAUAACGCCCCAGUCCAUUGCUUCACUGAAUGGAAGAAAUCCAGAACCUGCCUCCAACAGCAAAGAUGUGACCAUCUUCACCUGGCAGGGCACAGGGCUCUGUGUAUUCGGUACUCCAGAUCAAAGGAGACCUCUAAUGGAAACUUUGUUAGCUCAGGGCAAUAGAGCAUGUCCAUGAGCCACGCUGCUGCCUACAUCGGCUUCUGGGUGAGUUGUUCCCUCUGCAAGGAACGUUCCUCCCCCUCCCAUCUGGCUAACUCCCAUUUAUUCUUCUCAUUUCCACUUAAAAACACUACCUUCUCUGAACAGCCUUCCAUAAAACAUAAUGCAGGGUCCCCUUGUUAGAUACUCUCCCUGUAGUCUGCCAUCACAGCCAUCAUUAUAUCCCGAUGAGACCGGGGGGACUGACUCCCUGCCAUGGAGCAGAGACUAGGUCUGUUCUCCUCACUUCUGUAUCCCCAGUGCCUGGGAAAGAGCCUGGAACCGAGC